CCUACGGGUGGCAGCAGUGGGGAAUAUUGGACAAUGGGCGAAAGCCUGAUCCAGCCAUGCCGCGUGUGUGAAGAAGGCCUUCGGGUUGUAAAGCACUUUCAGUGGGGAAGAAAGCCUUGGGGCUAAUACCCUCGAGGAAGGACAUCACCCACAGAAGAAGCACCGGCUAACUCCGUGCCAGCAGCCGCGGUAAUACGGAGGGUGCGAGCGUUAAUCGGAAUUACUGGGCGUAAAGCGCGCGUAGGCGGUCUGAUAAGCCGGUUGUGAAAGCCCCGGGCUCAACCUGGGAACGGCAUCCGGAACUGUCAGGCUAGAGUGCAGGAGAGGAAGGUAGAAUUCCCGGUGUAGCGGUGAAAUGCGUAGAGGUCGGGAGGAAUACCAGUGGCGAAGGCGGCCUUCUGGACUGACACUGACGCUGAGGUGCGAAAGCGUGGGUAGCAAACGGGAUUAGAUCCCCUAGAGUC
rnacentral:rRNA from 1 species